AAAAAAAACAAACACGUGUUUCGUGUCCAACUUUGACUGUCCGUCUUAUUUAAAUUUUUUUUAUAAUUUGUGUUUUUGUUGUUGUUAGAUAAUAAAACAUGAUUAAUAUUUUAUGCGUGACUUGUAUUUCUAAUUUUUUUUAUAAUUUUUUAAAUAAGACGAAUGGUUAAAAGUUGGGCACGAAAAUCAGGUUUGUCUUUUUC
rfam:Oryza glaberrima chromosome 2 Oglab02_0023_23, whole genome shotgun sequence.